UACAGAGGGGGCAAGCGUUGUUCGGAAUUACUGGGCGUAAAGGGCGCGUAGGCGGCCUGUUAAGUCGAACGUGAAAUCCCCGGGCUCAACCCGGGAACUGCGUCCGAUACUGGCAGGCUUGAAUCCGGGAGAGGGAUGUGGAAUUCCAGGUGUAGCGGUGAAAUGCGUAGAUAUCGGGAGGAACACCAGUGGCGAAGGCGACUCCCUGGCCUGUUAUUGACGCUGAGGCGCGAAAGCUAGGGGAGCAAACGGG
rnacentral:rRNA from 1 species